UUGGAUGAAAUGCAUCCCAAAAUAGAUAUUCAUUCCUAUUUCUGCAUGGCCUUUGGAAAGGAAGACACGUAAUUUGUCCGUUGUUCCUCCCUACCCCACAACAUCCGGCAUUUGUCACUCUAAAUCCAAAGGCAGCAGGAUUUUCAAUCAAGUCUUGGAAGAUUCCAUAAGCAUCAAUGUAGAUGAAUUUUGCAUCAGGUGUAUUUCCAUUCAAAUUAUCAACAAGUGCCUUGAGUUUAUUGUUGAAUAAUUGAUUUGCUACAUUGAUUCUUUGUACACAAGUUCUCCCAUCUGGGCUGUUUUGGGCCAAUGCAUUUGGGCUGCACCCUAUCUGGCCCACUCCAAUCAAAGCAAACUUCCUUGCUCCAUUACUAUAUAAAAUCUUUAGUUGUUGAGUAUAUUGUUGAAUAAGAACAGUAGCAUAUUGAUCAGGAGUGAACUGUCUGCUGGUGGGAUAAUAAAGAGGCAUAAAAUAAUUAUUGAGAUAAUCAUUGCUGCCUAAUCCAACUGAGUAAAUGCAUUUUUUAAGAUAAUCAGCAGCUGCAUUUUCAUUUCCUAAUAUUUGCACCACUUGUUGCACUGUGUUCCUGUAAUUAUUCACUUGUCCAGAAAAACUAAUUCUUCCUCCCAAUUGUCUGCCAGUUUCAUCUCUAAUUCCAGCAGCUGCAGAAGCAUAAUUGACACCUCUGAGAACAUCUCUGCCCCUAGCAGUUGCAUAGGGUGGAAUAUUACCAUUGAACCCCAAUUGUUCCGCAAUGACAUCAACAGUAGUUUUUCCAUUAGAGAAUCUCCCAGUUGGACCUCCAGAGAAAUCAAUACCAUAAGGCAAGUAGUUAGCCUUAGCCAAUGACUGAAUAUUGUUGUUAUUCCCAUUAUCAACCAAAGAAUCACCAAAUAUGAAAUAACAAGGCACUUGUUGUGCAUUUGUUUCAUAAUAAUCUCCCAAACUCAUAAACCCUAAAAGCACCACCAAUAUACAUCUCCUCAUCUCACUACCCAUUUUUGAGACCCUUAGCUUUAGAAGUAGCUAGGCUAAGUAGUUAGUUAAAGUAAUGA
rnacentral:misc_RNA from 1 species